rnacentral:rRNA from 1 species
ACCCUGAUCAGCAAUGCCGCGUGAGUGAAGAAGGCCUCUCGGGUUGUAAAGCUCUUUUGUCAGGGAAGAAACGGUAGUAGCUAAUAUCUAUUACUAAUGACGGUACCUGAAGAAUAAGCACCGGCUAACUACGUGCCAGCAGCCGCGGUAAUACGUAGGGUGCAAGCGUUAAUCGGAAUUACUGGGCGUAAAGCGUGCGCAGGCGGUUGUGUAAGUCAGAUGUGAAAUCCCCGGGCUCAACCUGGGAAUUGCAUUUGAGACUGCACGGCUAGAGUGUGUCAGAGGGGGGUAGAAUUCCACGUGUAGCAGUGAAAUGCGUAGAUAUGUGGAGGAAUACCGAUGGCGAAGGCAGCCCCCUGGGAUAACACUGACGCUCAUGCACGAAAGCGUGGGGAGCAAACAGGAUUAGAUACCCUGGUAGUCCACGCCCUAAACGAUGUCUACUAGUUGUCGGGUCUUAAUUGACUUGGUAACGCAGCUAACGCGUGAAGUAGACCGCCUGGGGAGUACGGUCGCAAGAUUAAAACUCAAAGGAAUUGACGGGGACCCGCACAAGCGGUGGAUGAUGUGGAUUAAUUCGAUGCAACGCGAAAAACCUUACCUACCCUUGACAUGGAUGGAAUCCCGAAGAGAU